rnacentral:rRNA from 1 species
GCAACCUGCCCCUGACUCUGGGAUAAGCGCUGGAAACGGCGUCUAAUACUGGAUAUGUGACGUGACCGCAUGGUCUGCGUUUGGAAAGAUUUUUCGGUUGGGGAUGGGCUCGCGGCCUAUCAGCUUGUUGGUGAGGUAAUGGCUCACCAAGGCGUCGACGGGUAGCCGGCCUGAGAGGGUGACCGGCCACACUGGGACUGAGACACGGCCCAGACUCCUACGGGAGGCAGCAGUGGGGAAUAUUGCACAAUGGGCGAAAGCCUGAUGCAGCAACGCCGCGUGAGGGAUGACGGCCUUCGGGUUGUAAACCUCUUUUAGCAGGGAAGAAGCGAAAGUGACGGUACCUGCAGAAAAAGCGCCGGCUAACUACGUGCCAGCAGCCGCGGUAAUACGUAGGGCGCAAGCGUUAUCCGGAAUUAUUGGGCGUAAAGAGCUCGUAGGCGGUUUGUCGCGUCUGCUGUGAAAUCCCGAGGCUCAACCUCGGGCCUGCAGUGGGUACGGGCAGACUAGAGUGCGGUAGGGGAGAUUGGAAUUCCUGGUGUAGCGGUGGAAUGCGCAGAUAUCAGGAGGAACACCGAUGGCGAAGGCAGAUCUCUGGGCCGUAACUGACGCUGAGGAGCGAAAGGGUGGGGAGCAAACAGGCUUAGAUACCCUGGUAGUCCACCCCGUAAACGUUGGGAACUAGUUGUGGGGUCCAUUCCACGGAUUCCGUGACGCAGCUAACGCAUUAAGUUCCCCGCCUGGGGAGUACGGCCGCAAGGCUAAAACUCAAAGGAAUUGACGGGGACCCGCACAAGCGGCGGAGCAUGCGGAUUAAUUCGAUGCAACGCGAAGAACCUUACCAAGGCUUGACAUAUACGAGAACGGGCCAGAAAUGGUCAACUCUUUGGACACUCGUAAACAGGUGGUGCAUGGUUGUCGUCAGCUCGUGUCGUGAGAUGUUGGGUUAAGUCCCGCAACGAGCGCAACCCUCGUUCUAUGUUGCCAGCACGUAAUGGUGGGAACUCAUGGGAUACUGCCGGGGUCAACUCGGAGGAAGGUGGGGAUGACGUCAAAUCAUCAUGCCCCUUAUGUCUUGGGCUUCACGCAUGCUACAAUGGCCGGUACAAAGGGCUGCAAUACCGUGAGGUGGAGCGAAUCCCAAAAAGCCGGUCCCAGUUCGGAUUGAGGUCUGCAACUCGACCUCAUGAAGUCGGAGUCGCUAGUAAUCGCAGAUCAGCAACGCUGCGGUGAAUACGUUCCCGGGUCUUGUA